AUUCUGCUUCAAAUUUUGACUCUACAAGUGAAGCCAAGAAUGAAAAAGAAGAGAUUGAAAAUGACGUAAAUCAUGACGAAGAGGAAGACAUGGGAGAAGAGGAAGAAGACGAAGAAGAGGAGAAGGUGGAGGAGGAGAAUGAUUAUGAAGAACAAGUGGGGAAAGUAAAUGUUGCAUCCAGCCGAGAAGAGGAAGAAAAUGUUGGGUACAUUGAAAAAGAAGCAGAAGAAAAUUAUUUGAAUGUUGAAGCUGAAAUGGGAAUGGAAAAUUUUCAAAGAUCAAGAAGGUGCAAAGAUAGUGAACUAGAGGAGAAAUUAUCAGGUACACCCUAUCCACAUGCACCAUCUCUCUCACAAUUACGUGGGACACAUUUUCUAUAUUAUAAGAAUGGUCCACUUUUUUGUGAGAGAGGGAGCA
rnacentral:misc_RNA from 1 species